ensembl:miRNA
AAGAUAGUGCUGACUACAGUCAGUUUUGCAGGAUUGCAUUCCAGCUUAUUUCAAACGCUGUGCAAAUCCAUGCAAAACUGACUGUGGUUGCAUUCAUUCG